UACGAAGGGGGCUAGCGUUGCUCGGAAUGACUGGGCGUAAAGGGCGCGUAGGCGGCCAGCACAAGUCAGUUGUGAAAUCUCCGAGCUUAACUCGGAAAGGUCAACUGAUACUGUGCGGCUAGAGUGCGGAAGGGGCAACUGGAAUUCUUGGUGUAGCGGUGAAAUGCGUAGAUAUCAAGAGGAACACCUGCGGCGAAGGCGGGUUGCUGGGCCGACACUGACGCUGAUGCGCGAAAGCCAGGGGAGCGAACGGG
rnacentral:rRNA from 1 species